rnacentral:misc_RNA from 1 species
GGAGGGAUCAUUUGUGAGAAAUCCAAAGUCGGUCGGAUGUGCCGCCGGGCGACCAUGCGUGCACUCUGUCCGCAAUCCACGCACCUGUGAACCUUUGACCCUGGAGCUCCACCCGGCUUGCCAGGCAGCAGGAUGGAAACUGUACUUUCAAUCCCGGAGCUCGGGUACAUUUUACAAACUCAUGUGGUUUUGGAAAGUGACCGUGCAAUGUAAAUUGUGCAAACUGUACAACUUUCAACGACGGAUCUCUUGGCUCUCGCAUCGAUGAAGAACGCAGCGAAUUGCGAUAAGUAAUGUGAAUUGCAGAAUUCAGUGAAUCAUCGAAUCUUUGAACGCACCUUGCACCCUUUGGCAUUCCGAAGGGUACACCCGUUUGAGGGUCAUUGUAACAUCACGUCCCCCUUCCUUUCAGAUGGGUGGGUUACAGUGGAACUUGGAUGCUGCCGGGUCAAACGGCUCGUCCCAAAUGAGUUGACGGUGCCGGCGUGGGUGUUGUUGGCGUGAUAGUAUCAAUCGCCCCUCACUCUGUGAAACACAUGCACGACUGGUGCCGUCCCUUACCCUACACUUUUGACAAUUUGACCUCAGAUCGGGUGGGACUACCCGCUGAACUUAAGCAUAUCAAUAAGCGGAGGAAAAGAAACUAACAAGGAUUCCCCCAGUAACGGCGAGUGAAGAGGGAAGAGCUCAAAUUUUGAAUCUGGUGCCUUUGGCAUCCGAGUUGUAAUCUAGAGAAGUGUUUUCCGUGGCGGACCGGACAUAAGUUCCCUGGAACGGGGCGUCAAAGAGGGUGAGAAUCCCGUUUGAGGUCCGGCAACCGUCACUCUGCGAUACACUCUCCACGAGUCGAGUUGUUUGGGAAUGCAGCUCAAAAUGGGUGGUAAAUUCCAUCUAAAGCUAAAUAUUGGCGAGAGACCGAUAGCGAACAAGUACCGCGAGGGAAAGAUGAAAAGCACUUUGGAAAGAGAGUGAAACAGUACGUGAAAUCGUUGAAAGGGAAACGCUUGAAGUCAGUCAUGCUCUCGGGGACUCAGCCCUGCUUCUGCACGGUGUACUUCCUCGAGAGUGGGUCAACGUCGAUUUUGACCGGAGGAGAAAGGCCUGGGGAAUGUGACAGUGCUCCGGCAUUGUGUUAUAGCCCCUUGUCGUAUGCCUCGGUCGGGAUCGAGGACCGCAGCGUGCCUCUAAUGGCCGGGGGAUCGCCACCCACGCAAAGCGCUUAGGAUGUUGGCAUAAUGGCUUUAAGCGACCCGUCUUGAAACACGGACCAAGGAGUCUAACAAGUGCGCGAGUGUUUGGGUGUCAAACCCGAGCGCGCAAUGAAAGUGAAAGGUCGGGAUCGUGUGAACGUGCACCGACGCCCGGAGCUGACCUUCUGUGACGCAUCCGCGGCAGAGCGCACUUGUUGGGACCCGAAAGAUGGUGAACUAUGCCUGAAUAGGGUGAAGCCAGAGGAAACUCUGGUGGAGGCUCGUAGCGAUUCUGACGUGCAAAUCGAUCGUCAAAUUUGGGUAUAGGGGCGAAAGACUAAUCGAACCAUCUAGUAGCUGGUUCCUGC